AGAGAUGCACUGGGUAUAAAGCGUGCGCAGGCGGUUUUGUAAGACAGAGGUGAAAUCCCCGGGCUCAACCUGGGAACUGCCUUUGUGACUGCAAGGCUGGAGUGCGGCAGAGGGGGAUGGAAUUCCGCGUGUAGCAGUGAAAUGCGUAGAUAUGCGGAGGAACACCGAUGGCGAAGGCAAUCCCCUGGGCCUGCACUGACGCUCAUGCACGAGAGCGUGGGGAGCAAACA
rnacentral:rRNA from 1 species